rnacentral:rRNA from 1 species
CGCGUAGGUGGCCAAUUAAGUCAAAUGUGAAAUCCCCGAGCUUAACUUGGGAAUUGCAUUCGAUACUGGUUGGCUAGAGUAUGGGAGAGUAUGGUAGAAUUCCAGGUGUAGCGGUGAAAUGCGUAGAGAUCUGGAGGAAUACCGAUGGCGAAGGCAGCCAUCUGGCCUAAUACUGACACUGAGGUGCGAAAGCAUGGGGCUCAAACAGGAUUAGAUACCCUCGUA